AUAGCUCACUGGUCGAGUCGGCCUGCGCGGAAGAUGUAACGGGGCUAAACCAUGCACCGAAGCUGCGGCAGCGACGCUUAUGCGUUGUUGGGUAGGGGAGCGUUCUGUAAGCCUGUGAAGGUGUACUGUGAGGUAUGCUGGAGGUAUCAGAAGUGCGAAUGCUGACAUAAGUAACGAUAAAGCGGGUGAAAAGCCCGCUCGCCGGA
rnacentral:rRNA from 1 species